UACGAAGGGUGCAAACGUUGCUCGGAAUUAUUGGGCGUAAAGCGCACGUAGGCGGCAUUGCAAGUCGGAUGUGAAAUCUUAUGGCUUAACCAUAAAAGUGCAUCCGAAACUGCAGUGCUUGAGUACUUAAGAGGAUCGCGGAAUUCCCGGUGUAGAGGUGAAAUUCGUAGAUAUCGGGAGGAACACCGGUGGCGAAGGCGGCGACCUGGGUAGAUACUGACGCUGAGGCGCGAAAGCGUGGGUAGCAAACAGG
rnacentral:rRNA from 1 species